AGAGUUAAAUAGUACGUGAAAUUGUUGAAAGGGAAACGAUUAAAGUCAGUCAUGUUGGUAGGGAAUCAACUUGAUGGUUUGCGGGUUUACUCGUGUUCUUUCGAGUGCACUUCCUUACUUGCUAGUUAGCAUCAAUUUUGGUUAUCAUAUAAAAAUUGAGGGAAGGUGGCUUUUCUUCGGAAAAGUGUUAUAGACCUUGAUUAAUGUGGUGACCGGGAUUGAGGAUUGCAGCGGAUACCCUUUUGGGCUAGUCACCUUGCUUCUGAUGGUUACCCCGUCUUCGAUAGCUUGCUAACGUUGAUGGGAUUUAAUUGUCUAGAUGUUGGAGUGAUCAUAAAUUCGCUAAGGAUGCUGACGUAAUGGCUUUAAACGACC
rnacentral:rRNA from 1 species